UCCCUAAUUUUAUUUUAUUUUCAGUACUUUAAACUGAAAAUUCACAAAUCAAUUACGUUUGGAUUUGAUUGGAUUUUCGCAUUCACUGCUGCUCGCCAGUGAUUUUCAUAUUCAGGUGGAGAACCAUAAGGUCUCACGUUCAAAUCCACUAGAGAGACGAAAGUACUGGGUGAUUUCUUCUUAUCUGUUCUAGAUGAUUAUGUUUUUAGGUUAAGAAAGAGAGUUUGCAUUUUGAAAUUAUAAGUAUUGCUGUGUUUUGCAGCUUGUUCCGACUUCCAGGGAGUGUAAGAAGAGAGAAUCCAGUUUUGGUGCAUUGCAAUAGGACACAUAGGUGACAUUUUCUAAAAAAGGCAUUGUCCAAGGAGAUGAGAAGGUUGAUAUGCUCAUGAAGUCGGAGAAGAAAUCCAAGAAUAGGAAAAAGAAUGUUGUCACUGAUGAUUCGGAAGUGACAAAGGGCGAUGUUAAGGACGUUGAUCAUGAUUCAUGUUUCAAGGAAGAGAGUCUCUCUUUUACAGGGAUCAGGAAAGAAAGGGAUAAGACAAAGAUGGAAACUCAAGCACCUGGCGAAAGUGAAGAUAGUUACAUCAAGAUAAAGAAAGAAAGAGGUGGUGGUAAACAGCAUGGGAAAUACAGUAAAGACGGGUGUGAGGAUACUGUUGAAAAUGUUUUUAAAAAGAAAAAGAAGUUGAAGAAUGAGCAGGAUAUACUUAUGAUGCACGAUGCUAGUUUAGACACCAAAACACUUGCUCAUGAAAGUGCGAGCAGAACUCAUGAAACCAAGGCCGUUGAGACUCUCGGCGAGGGCUCUGGUGGAAAUCUUACAGAUGAGGUGAAGAGGAAGAAAAAGAAAAAGAAAAAAGAUAAGAGGGGAAAAGAUGGACAGGUAGAUAUCGUGGUUGGUGUCAUUCAAGGUGUUGUUUCAGCUGACGAAGUGAAUAGGAAGAAAAGGAAAAAGGAUAAGAAGAAAAGAGAGGAUGGACUGGUAGACGUCGUGGCUAGCGUCAUUCAGGGUGAUGUUUUAGCUAUAGAUGAGAUGAAGAGGAAGAAAAGGAAAAAGGAUAAGAGGAAUAAAGAGGAUGGACAGGUAGAUAUCGCGACUGGCGUCAUUCAAGGUGAUGUUUCAGCUAUAAAUGAGAUGAAGAGGAAGAAAAGGAAAAAGGAUAAGAAUAAAAAGGAUGGACAGGUAGAUAGCGUGGCUGGUGUCAUUCAAGGUGAUGUUUCAGCCAUAGAAGAGACGGAAGAUAGACAAAUAGAUGAUGCUAAUAUCAGAAAGAUGAAAAAGACAAAAUUAGGGCACAAUUCGAAAAAUCUUACUAAUGAAAAGACUGAAAAAAGAGUGAGAUUUUCUGAUAAUGUACAGUUUUUCCAUCCAAUCAGUGAUCCUAGCAAUGAGAGGCAUGAAAAUAACAAACAAGAAUUAUUGCUUGGCAAAUAUUUCACACAGGAAGAAGAUGAAAUCGUCAAAGAUGCUGUUUGUAGAUACAUAGAGGUAUAUAAUUUGGGGGAUGAGGGGUUGCAAAAGGUUUUGAAUUCCAAAUCUUAUCCUAAACUAAGGGGCUGCUGGAAAGAGAUAGGGAAGGCUAUACCAUACAGGCCUUUCACAGCAGUUUAUCAUCGUGCACAGCGUUUGUUUCGAAUGGGAGAGAAGCGUAAAUGGACUGAAGAAGAGUAUGGGAUGCUUCGGAAGUUCCAGGGAGCACAUGGGAAUAAGUGGACCCUCUUGGCCAACGAACUUGGGAAACAUCCGGAUCAUGUUGGAAAUGCAUGGGAUAGGAUAAAACUGGAAAAUCGGAAGAGAGGACAGUGGGAUCAGGAGGAAGUACAGAAAUUGUUUGAUUUAGUAAACACCGAUCUGCAACUUAAGCUCUCUGAAGAAAGGAAAUCUAGGCAUGGGAUGCUACGGGAUAAUAUUUGCUGGAGUUCAAUUAGUGACAAUUUGUCCACCAGGAUUUCCCAUCAUUGCUGCAAUAAAUGGUACAGACAAUUAACAUCCUCGAUGGUGGUUGCAGGUGAAUGGGCAGAUACUGAUGACUAUCGCUUAAUUGCUGCCCUUUUUGAACUAGACGCAAGCUGCAUAGAGGAUGUGGAUUGGGACAAUCUUCUCUCCCACAGGCAUGGAGAUUUAUGUCGAAAAAGAUGGAAAGAGAUGGUGCGUCAAAUAAGUCAACAUGAAAACAAGUCAUUUGAUGCACUAGUAGAAGUGUUAGCAAAGAGAUACCGCCCUGAUUUAGUUGGAGCAAGGGAGGUCUGGGAUAGUAAACCACUUGUUCCAUGACAUGUUUAACACUCACAUGAGCGUUUCUGUAGAGAGAAGAGAUGCUUGAGGAACUAGAGGUAUUAGGUACUCGUGAAAUAGUAGAGGUGCUUGUUGGCUUGGGCACCAAACAUUAUCCAUAAAGGAAAUGUUUACAGAUGUUUUGGAAGAGAGAUUCUUUCUUGUCUGGUGGAAAGAAAAUUAAAAAAACCUUUCACAAUUUGAUGUUAUGAAGGAUUGAAAGAGAUAAGCCGAGGGUCUAUCUGACACAACCUCUCUACCUCGCAAAGGUAAGGACAAGGUCUGCGUAAAUCUUCCCCAUCCCAAACCCCACAUGUAAGAUUACAGCGGGUAUGUUGUUGAAGUAUAUGUUGUGUACCUGCCUAAAAAAAAGAUUACAAAAUGUUAUUAGUAUUGCCCAUAGCCUCAUACUCCUUUAUUCAAAUGCAUUUUUAUCAAUUUGGGUAUUAUUUUUUGUAUCAAA